rnacentral:misc_RNA from 1 species
GAUGAAGAACGUAGCAAAAUGCGAUAAGUAGUGUGAAUUGCAGAAUUCAGUGAAUCAUCGAAUCUUUGAACGCACAUUGCGCCCCUUGGUAUUCCAUGGGGCAUGCCUGUUCGAGCGUCAUUGACACCCUCAAGCUUUGCUUGGUGUUGGGCGUCUUGUCUCUAGCUUUGCUGGAGACUCGCCUUAAAGUAAUUGGCAGCCGGCCUACUGGUUUCGGAGCGCAGCACAAGUCGCACUCUCUAUCAGCAAAGGUCUAGCAUCCAUUAAGCCUUUUUUUCAACUUUUGACCUCGGAUCAGGUAGGGAUACCCGCUGAACUUAAGCAUAUCAAUAAGCGGAGGA